AAUUAUGAGAUAAUCUCAUGGAUACUCCCUGGACUUAAGCAUAUCAUUAAGGGAAGGAAAAGAAACUAACUAGGUUCCG
rnacentral:ncRNA from 1 species